rnacentral:rRNA from 1 species
GUGCCAGCCGCCGCGGUAAUACGUAGGCACCAAGCGUUGUCCGGAUUUAUUGGGCGUAAAGAGCUCGUAGGCGGUUCGGUAAGUCGGGUGUGAAAACUCUGGGCUCAACCCAGAGAGGCCACCCGAUACUGCCGUGACUGGAGUGCGGUAGGGGAGUGGGGAAUUCCUGGUGUAGCGGUGAAAUGCGCAGAUAUCAGGAGGAACACCAGUGGCGAAGGCGCCACUCUGGGCCGUAACUGACGCUGAGGAGCGAAAGCGUGGGUAGCAAACAGGAUUAGAAACCCCCGUAGUCC